rnacentral:rRNA from 1 species
UUGUGUGUUAGUGGAAGCGUCUGGAAAGUCGCAGGGUACAGGGUGAUACUCCCGUACACAAAAACACACAUGCUGUGAGCUCGAUGAGUAAGGCGGGACACGUGGUAUCCUGUCUGAAUAUGGGGGGACCAUCCUCCAAGGCUAAAUACUCCUGACUGACCGAUAGUGAACCAGUACCGUGAGGGAAAGGCGAAAAGAACCCCGGCGAGGGGAGUGAAACAGAACCUGAAACCGUGUACGUACAAGCAGUGGGAGCCUUCUUUAUGGGGGUGACUGCGUACCUUUUGUAUAAUGGGUCAGCGACUUAUAUUCUGUAGCAAGGUUAACCGUAUAGGGGAGCCGCAGGGAAACCGAGUCUUAACUGGGCGUUAAGUUGCAGGGUAUAGACCCGAAACCCGGUGAUCUAGCCAUGGGCAGGUUGAAGGUUGGGUAACACUAACUGGAGGACCGAACCGACUAAUGUUGAAAAAUUAGCGGAUGACCUGUGGCUGGGGGUGAAAGGCCAAUCAAACCGGGAGAUAGCUGGUUCUCCCCGAAAGCUAUUUAGGUAGCGCCUCGUGAACUCAUCUUCGGGGGUAGAGCACUGUUUCGGCUAGGGGGCCAUCCCGGCUUACCAACCCGAUGCAAACUGCGAAUACCGAAGAAUGUUAUCACGGGAGACACACGGCGGGUGCUAACGUCCGUCGUGAAGAGGGAAACAACCCAGACCGCCAGCUAAGGUCCCAAAGUCAUGGUUAAGUGGGAAACGAUGUGGGAAGGCACAGACAGCCAGGAUGUUGGCUUAGAAGCAGCCAUCAUUUAAAGAAAGCGUAAUAGCUCACUGGUCGAGUCGGCCUGCGCGGAAGAUGUAACGGGGCUAAACCAUGCACCGAAGCUGCGGCAGCGACGCUUAUGCGUUGUUGGGUAGGGGAGCGUUCUGUAAGCCGUCGAAGGUGUGCUGUGAGGCAUGCUGGAGGUA